GCCAAAGUUCUGAAUAUAUAAAAGUUGCAGCACCCCCAUCUCCACUGUGGCUUUGGCUGCCAGCCAGAGCUGCCGUUUUAUUGACAAUUUAUUGGAGUGCUUCUCCCAUUGAGCUUUCAUGAUGGUAUUCAUGUUGCACUCUGCUUGAGUCUCAGAUAAAAGGUCCUUCAUCUACACUCCCCAAGACCAUUAUCACUGCUUAUUAUAAUGCCAUUCAGAUGAAAAGCCCCACAGCACUACAAAGAAGAUCUAGACUUAUAAUAAAAUCAAUACUUUCGUUUCCUUACAAGACAAUUAAAGGGGGAGAAAUAGGCGGGUCUACAGACUGUUACUCCUGAGACUCUCCAGAGGAAGGACGCAAGGCUAGGUGGCAGCUGUCUGUGGGGAGCUUCUGUCUCAUUUCAUCUGGGCUUGGGAUGAAUGGAAAGGCUCGUGCAUCUGAUUGAUGAGCACUAGCUUGUAGAUGACAGCAUAGGCCUUCUGCUUCCUAACUCUUGUCAGCCUGCUCCAAGCACUGGCUUUCCAGCAAGCAGCUAUUUCCUCAGCCCUUUCUUCUUCCCCAGUCAGGCAGGCUUUAACCUAAGCCCAAACUAAAUGCCAGCAGUAUUCUCCAAGCUCUUGAUUCCUAUCUACUGAUUGGCUGGCAUAGCCUCAUGGAGACUGUAGUCAAAGAAGAGUGUUUAGGCUCUAAGUAUGAGAAGAUUCAAGGAUUGUAUUGACAAGAGAGCAAACAUAGAAUUUUUGUACAAUGCAGAGAGAUCAGAGAAAUGGAAAGAGACGGAGACCAGGAGAGACAACAAGAAAAAGAAGAGACAAGGAAAAAAGUUGGGAGGAAUCCUCAGCAUCAUGCAGCAAAUCAGACAAAGUUAGCCCAGCUUCCGAGGGGCUAACCUGGAAAAUGCAAAGCUGAGAAGAAGCCAAGACAAAAUAAGCCAAUAGACUGAGGAGUGGCCCACCGUGCUGAGUGUCCUGCAAGGCGUAAAUGGAGUUGACUCAUAAAAGAUCUAUGGACACAGGACUACAGCUUCUGAGGCCUCUGAAAGAAGUGACAUUGUUCCAAGCUGUCCAGACCGAAGCAUCACCUCUGUGAUCAAGCUUGAGAUUGUUUGUGGCUGAGAAAUAUACUGCCAUCUACACACAGGCAGUGUAAAGUCUAAAAGGAGCGACACUGCCUGUUCCUGAAGGAAUAAGAAGUGGGAAGAGAAGAAAGGAGAAAUGAAGCAGGGAGAGUCAGUCCUGCACUGGCUGCAGGUCAUGGCCAGUCAGCAGCCACACAGAAGAUGUAGGAGAGAACAAGAAACCCCUGUUAUCUUCUGGUUACUCCUAGAUAUUCCUUUUUCUACCUGCUGGUUGCCCUGCAGAAUGUGAAAUGGCACAAGAAUUCAAGAUGGGGACCACAGACAGACUAGCUGGUGAGUAAACACAAUGCUGCCAUCUCUUGUGAAUCUAGCCUCUUUCUUGCAGUGUUUUCAAGAUCUCAAUGGGCUUGAGUGAAUUUGCUCCUUGAAUUAGUGGGGAAA
rnacentral:lncRNA from 1 species